rnacentral:rRNA from 1 species
UACGGGGGGGGCAAGCAUUGUUCGGAAUUACUGGGCGUAAAGCGUGCGCAGGCGGUGAUGUAAGACAGGUGUGAAAUCCCCGGGCUUAACCUGGGAACUGCAUUUGUGACUGCAUCGCUGGAGUGCGGCAGAGGGGGAUGGAAUUCCGCGUGUAGCAGUGAAAUGCGUAGAUAUCCGGAAGAACACCGAUGGCGAAGGCAACCACCUGGGCCUGUACUGACGCUGAGGUACGAAAGCGUGGGGAGCAAACAGG